UGUGUGUGUGUGUGUGUGUGUGUGUGUGUUUAUAUGUAUGUGUAUAUACGUAUACACACACAAACACACUUUUG